rnacentral:rRNA from 1 species
CACGAAGGGGGCUAGCGUUGUUCGGAAUCACUGGGCGUAAAGCGCAUGCAGGCGGCUUGUUAAGUCGGGGGUGAAAUCCCGAGGCUCAACCUCGGAACUGCCUUCGAUACUGGCAAUCUUGAGUCCGGGAGAGGUGAGUGGAACUGCGAGUGUAGAGGUGAAAUUCGUAGAUAUUCGCAAGAACACCAGUGGCGAAGGCGGCUCACUGGCCCGGUACUGACGCUGAGGUGCGAAAGCGUGGGGAGCAAACAGG